rnacentral:rRNA from 1 species
AGUGGCGGACGGGAGAGUAACGCGUAAGAAUCUAACUUCAGGACGGGGACAACAGUGGGAAACGACUGCUAAUACCCGAUGUGCCGCGAGGUGAAACCUAAUUGGCCUGAAGAAGAGCUUGCGUCUGAUUAGCUAGUUGGUGGGGUAAGAGCCUACCAAGGCGACGAUCAGUAGCUGGUCUGAGAGGAUGAGCAGCCACACUGGGACUGAGACACGGCCCAGACUCCUACGGGAGGCAGCAGUGGGGAAUUUUCCGCAAUGGGCGAAAGCCUGACGGAGCAACGCCGCGUGAGGGAGGAAGGUCUUUGGAUUGUAAACCUCUUUUCUCAAGGAAGAAGUUCUGACGGUACUUGAGGAAUCAGCCUCGGCUAACUCCGUGCCAGCAGCCGCGGUAAUACGGGGGAGGCAAGCGUUAUCCGGAAUUAUUGGGCGUAAAGCGUCCGCUGGUGGUCAGCCAAGUCUGCCGUCAAAUCAGGUUGCUUAACGACCUAAAGGCGGUGGAAACUGGCAGACUAGAGAGCAGUAGGGGUAGCAGGAAUUCCCAGUGUAGCGGUGAAAUGCGUAGAGAUUGGGAAGAACAUCGGUGGCGAAAGCGUGCUACUGGGCUGUAUCUGACACUCAGGGACGAAGCUAGGGGAGCGAAAGGGAUUAGAUACCCCUGUAGUCCUAGCCGUAAACGAUGGAUACUAGGCGUGGCUUG